CGUAAACAGAGGGAAGCGAGAUCGAGAGAUGGAGCAAAUCCCAAAAAUAACGUCCCAGUUCGGACUGUAGUCUGCAACCCGACUACACGAAGCUGGAAUCGCUAGUAAUCGCGGAUCAGAAUGCCGCGGUGAAUACGUUCCCGGGUCUUGUACACACCGCCCGUCACACCAUGGGAGUCAGUAACGCCCGAAGUCAGUGACCUAACCGAAAGGGAGGAGCUGCCGAAGGCGGGACGGAUGACUGGGGUGAAGUCGUAACAAGGUACC
rnacentral:rRNA from 1 species